rnacentral:rRNA from 1 species
GGGGCAGCGGGGGUAGCAAUACCUGCCGGCGACCGGCAAACGGGUGCGCAAUACGUACGCAACCUUCCUUUAAGCGGGGAAUAGCCCAGGGAAACUUGGAUUAAUACCCCAUAAUAUAUUGAAGAGGCAUCUUUUUAAUAUUAAAGCUCCGGCACUUAGAGAUGGGCGUACGGCUGAUUAGGUAGUUGGCGGGGUAACGGCCCACCAAGCCUUCGAUCAGUAGCUGAUGUGAGAGCAUGAUCAGCCACACGGGCACUGAGACACGGGCCCGACUCCUACGGGAGGCAGCAGUAAGGAAUAUUGGUCAAUGGACGCAAGUCUGAACCAGCCAUGCCGCGUGGAGGAUGAAGGUCCUCUGGAUUGUAAACUUCUUUUAUCUGGGACGAAACACUUCUUUUCUAAGAGGCCUGACGGUACCAGAUGAAUAAGCACCGGCUAACUCCGUGCCAGCAGCCGCGGUAAUACGGAGGGUGCAAGCGUUAUCCGGAUUCACUGGGUUUAAAGGGUGCGUAGGUGGGUAUGUAAGUCAGAGGUGAAAUCCCCGAGCUUAACUUGGGAACUGCCUUUGAUACUAUAUAUCUUGAAUACCGUAGAGGUAAGCGGAAUAUGUCAUGUAGCGGUGAAAUGCUUAGAUAUGACAUGGAACACCAAUUGCGAAGGCAGCUUACUAUGCGGAAAUUGACACUGAGGCACGGAAGCGUGGGUAGCAAACAGGAUUAGAUACCCUGGUAGUCCACGCCCUAAACUAUGGAUACUCGACAUACGCGAUACACUGUGUGUGUCUGAGCGAAAGCAUUAAG